CUUAUGUUGCAGCAAAAGAAAAAAAUAAAUAUAUGAAGAUAAUGGACGAUGCAAAGUAACACUGACAAAAUUAAAAGGAAAGAGUCAAAAAGUAAAAUAUUACCUCUUUAAAAUCGAAGUUGUUUCUUUUCAGAUGACAAACAACAUUGAAACGCCUCCCUCUCUUGCACAAGGAAGGUUUGAAGUUGCUUCUUCUCCGGCAACUGGUUAGUGGCGAGUGUCCAUUAACCAGAUAAUAAGGGAGGAAAGCUUGCUCCGGUAACAAAGCGUCGGAAGACGAUUGGCGAUGUCGCGAUGGUAGGUCUAAGAUAGUUUUUGGAUUUUUACAGUUUCAAUUAUUGAUUAUACACGACAAAAUUGAUGUUCAUUAACCUUCGAUUUCAACAAUAUAUGAAAGGCGCUAGUGGUAGAGUGGCAGCGGAUGUGGUGGUCGUAGAUGAAUACGGCGGACAGAGGCGAUCAAAGAUGAAAUAGAUAUGGAAGGAGGCGAUUGUUGUGGUUCAUUAUCGUUUGCCUAGCUUGUAGAUCUCGACUUUCAGCUUGUCGUCGCUCGUAGAUAUGGCAUCGCUGCUCAUUGGAGUUCCAAAAUCUAGCCUCGCCUAUCAUCGGUGGUGUUGUGGUCGUCAGUGAUAUUGCGAUCGUCGUCAGUAGUGGCUGUUAAUGAAAAAUUAUAGAUCUUGAUAUAGAGGACGAUGAUGUUAGUGGCGGAUCUCGUCGAUCUACUGAGCUGGAAUACGCCGACUUGGAUUCCGGUGAGCUAGUGGUGGGGGGGGCAUCGACGACGAUAACGACUGCAGAUGGUUGUUGGUGGUAGAAGGAAAAAGGAAAGUGAGAGGUUGAUGAUUUUGAGAAUGACAGGACAUGAAUCAAAUCUAGUUUUUAGAUUUGGAUUUUAAGAUCUGAUUUAUUUAUUUGUGAAAUUAGACUAAAAUUUGUUGUUGUUUACAAUUCUAUCAUUUUUUUUUUAGUAAUUGUUAGGUAAAAUAGAUAGUUCUUAGGUUUUUAAUUUUAUUUGGUUCUCAUUUUAUCUUUUACUUUUAUAUAUAUAUAUAUAUA
rnacentral:lncRNA from 1 species